UGGGCUUCACUUGAUUCGCGGGCUGAACUUCGGUGGACUUGGGCUUCAAUUAACGCGGGCUUGGAAAGGCUGAGUUGAGCUUGAAUUCAAGUGGGCCUUAAGCUUGCAAUGGAAUUGGGCCUGAGCCUGAAUCAUUUGGGCUUUGCUGGGUUAAACAAAAUGGGCUUCUCUGGUUUCUUGGACGGGCCCAACUGCUGGGCCGUGAAAUCCACUAGACUGAGC
rnacentral:lncRNA from 1 species